rnacentral:rRNA from 3 species
GUUAAGUGACGAUAGCCUAGGAGAUACACCUGUACCCAUGCCGAACACAGCAGUUAAGCCCUAGAACGCCUGAAGUAGUUGGGGGUUGCCCCCUGUUAGAUACGGUAGUCGCUUAGC